AGUGAAGCGCAGGAAGUUCCAGCCUCAGGCACGUGAUGCUUAUGUGCAAACUGUGCAUGGGCAGAAUACAAAGGCUGUACAGACGUACGUCAAGAAACAAUCUACUGGUGUCCAAGCCAGCCCAUUGCCUUCAAGGGACAGCUGUGACCAAACCGACGACAUGCUGCUGUACAGUGACUGAAGUGCUACGAGAAGGAAGGUCUUUAUCCUCUUCUUCAAUGAAUGAAGCGAAUUCCCCGGGAGUGAAUCUGAGCAGGACGAAUCAUUUCAGCGAUGACAUAUCCAGCUCCGAAGACCUUGAGUAAGAUUUGCCAUCUGCACAAAUGAGUCAUCAUAUAUCUGCAUGAUGAGCUCAGUGUUGAUCAACGCCGACAAUGAAACACGAGUUGAAGCUCUGCAUUUUAAUGAAGUCGGCUGUAGAAGAACACUGACAGACUCCGCAAGUGUGGAAAGACUUUUGCAGAGAUUCCCCCCAGGGUGAAAAAAAUGGACUGCGGCUCCAGUGAAACAGAGCAACGUGUGAUUAUGCGCCUCCACUGCUGAGCAAUGUCGUGCAAUGCCCUGAGAAAUGGCCGUCAUUUUCAGCUACUGAAAAUGCAGUUGUGCAAAGCCAUCAUGACACGCUCUCGGCAAAGUAUGGUCCAAAGCCAUCGAUGGAAGAUGCAAAGAAGGGGCGAUAUUAACGCUUCAGACAUAAAUCAAUAGUUGAUCUGCGAUCCUACUGCCAUGUUUG